UACGUAGGGUGCAAGCGUUAAUCGGAAUUACUGGGCGUAAAGCGUGCGCAGGCGGUUUUGUAAGUCUGACGUGAAAUCCCCGGGCUCAACCUGGGAAUUGCGUUGGAGACUGCAAGGCUAGAAUCUGGCAGAGGGGGGUAGAAUUCCGCGUGUAGCAGUGAAAUGCGUAGAGAUGUGGAGGAACACCGAUGGCGAAGGCAGCCCCCUGGGUCAAGAUUGACGCUCAUGCACGAAAGCGUGGGGAGCAAACAGG
rnacentral:rRNA from 1 species